rnacentral:lncRNA from 1 species
AAAGGAACGACAAGGCUGCAGGGGAAAGGGCGCAAAGUUCGUUUCGUUCCAUUGGACUCAAGGCGCUCCGGUUCAAUAAAGGGACAGUCGCACGUCCAAUCCCACACCCGCACGGUGUCCGUAAGAGCGGCCGCCCCUCGGAGCCCGCCCGGCAGCGGCGCGGGCACGGAGCUGCGCAACGCCCGGCGGGGAGAGGACGCGACGCGGAGGGCUGCCGGCCCAGCCUACCUCGGUGCGGCGGUACAGGGUGGCCUCUCCGAAGGCGCCGCGGCCCAGGAUGCGGAUGGGGAUGUAGUGCAGCUCCUCCUGCUCGCCGGGCAGGCCGCCGCCGCCGCCGCGGGAGCCGCCCCGGCCCGAGGACUCGCUGCCGAAGUCGGAGCUGAUGGAGUCGCAGUGCCGCUCGUACUCGCCCAGCGACAUGGCGGCGCGGCUCCGCGCGGCCCGGCUCGGCCGCUCCCUCAGCGAGGCCCCGCGCGCCCGACGGGCUCCAUGUUGGCUCCCGCCGCCGACCCGGAACCGCUUCCUGCCGCCCGCCGACCUCCGCGCUCCCGCCCCCGCCGGCCCGAGCCGGGAGCCGCUAACCGAGCGUGGCCGCGGGGCGGCUCCGGCCUUCCGGCGGGGGCGGCCGAGCUGGGGCGGGCCUCCUUCCCGCGGGCCGGCGGCGCCUCGCCCCGCUCCGGGCCGGGCCGGGCCGGGCCUGCUCCCCGCGGGGAGUAAGUGCGCAGCGCCGGGCCCGUCUGGGCCGCGAAACUGCUCCUGGAUGGAGCAGCCGGUCUGUCUCAUUCGAAGUCGAGACUGCAGGACUGCUUUCUCGGAAAGCUUUCGAGAUAGGUUUUGAUAAACGUUCUCUGAAGCACCCAAAUCGUGUCCAAAAGAAGGUCAUUAUUUCUUAUCAGACGUAUCUCAUCUUUUCCCUUAAAUACACUUCACAUAGCGCAGGUUUUUGGAAAAAUAAUUGCUCCUGGGAGAACGUGAUGAUAAACUGCAAUUGUGUGCCCAGCUUUGGCAGCCGCCCCGAAGAUGAGGUGUGCUGUGAUGGACUCACACUUCACACCACAAAUAACAGCCAGCCCUUCCUGUGCCGCUCCUGAUCUGUGGCGUUUUUCUCCGUGUGAGAUGAAAAACCAAAAACUUGAUAGAUAACAUCAGAGAGACAGAACGGCGGUAAGUGCUCUGGCAUAAGAAAGCAUUGGCAACCUUCGCCUUAAGUAAAUGAUCUGUUUUCUUCAUAGGUAACGCACAUUGUCGCGCUGGUUUGGUGUCAAAGCUCUACAGCCACCACUACAGAUCAGAAAGCAGUUCCACGAUGAGAAAAGAUCGCUUUUGGAUACCUCACCCCGCAGUCACGGGGGAUUUCGGGAGCUGAGGGUAAGUCCCCAAAACCAGGCACAGCAGAGCAGGUUGGCUUCCAUCUCAUACCUUAGGGAAGGUUUUUAUUGCCCGGGGUGAACCAAGAGGGGGUGCACACUACAAAGCCGUUCUGCAUUUCCAUUACAAACUUCUGUUUUAAAAAUGAAUAAUUUGUCCACUAAAGUUUACCUUUGCCAUACAAAUACUUUGUCCUUAGAAGUAGUAAAAAUGGUACUGCGGUUUUAGGGGGGAAAAAAAAAAAAAGAACUUAGACAUGAAAAAACUCAGACACGUUCUGCUAAGUAGGAUUCCAUCCUUCCACUGCAAAGAGAGUACCUAUCUAAAUGCAAUAUGGACCAAAAAAUAAUUAUAAUUAAUAAAUCAAAACCAAUGCUCCAAAGGCUCAUGGAAUUGAGAUUAAAGAGCCCUGAAUCACACCAGAAUACUGAUUGAAAAAUUUUCCAUAUUUGAAAAUUAUGGUUAUCUUGUCCGUUACCUGCAACCAUGACACAGCUGCCAUAAAAUGACCACAACAGUACCUAUCACAGGUACAGCCACUGCACACACACUUCUGACUUCCCUAUGCUUUGAAGAGCUGUGCAGUCAGUCUCACAGCAAGAAGCAUGUAAAGCAAGCAACAGAUACGGUCUGGUUUUUGGGUGGUGCUGCAUGGAGCCAGGAGUCAGGCUCAAUGAUGGGUCCCUUGCAGGUCACUUCCAACUCAAAAUAUGAACAGAUGCUGCUGACAGAGAUUCACUGGAAUACGGAUGAAGAGUAGGCACCCCAAUUUAACAGUUUUUUUUUUUUUUACUAAAGCACUAACUGAAAGAAAUCACGUGGUCUACAGGUAACAUGCCAUUCUUUCUCUUGCUAAACAUUGCACAAGGAUGAAUUUGGACUCAGGUAGGUAUGCUGCUAUUUAAACUAAACCAUAGUGAAUGUGAGCCUUAGAUCAACAACAUCCUUAAGGGGUUUCAGCAGUCAAGACAGUAUACUGUUUACAUUACUAACAUAAGGAAAGUGCAGCUCACAUUGAGAAGGGAGAAAUGAAGAGUCAUCCCCGUGGUUAAUUACAAUUAAGACAACAACACAAUGAGACUCCAGUUAAAUACAUAUAUAGCAGAAUGAGCAACUGGUAUGGGUGGAAAAACCACCUAGAGGUAAAGCUCUGCAGCAAACCAGACUGAAGUUGCAGUGCAGUAUAGCAGGAAAACUCAAAGGUGCCCUCUCCUCUGCGUGCCUUGUUUGUGUGGCAGCUAUGGGGACAGCGUGCCCCAGAGAACCAGGAGGACAGACUGUCUGCUUAAAGGUAACUGGACCUCCUGGUGCAGCUUAUGGAAAGAUCACAUCAUGUAGUCGGUUUUUAAGCUCAGGGAAAAGUACUUCGGGCGUAUCAGUUAUGAAAGCAAAUAAGUGAGAGGAAACCACAGAAGUGAGACCGAGCUAUGCAAGAGUCGUUCUAUCCCUGCCUUUUUUGAGGAAGUUAUUCAAUGUUUUAUGGUAAAAAAUUGAAAUAAAACAAGUCAAACCACAUGUAACAUAAGGAGUAAUCAGCGGCUGCCAUUUUGCAGACAGUUGGUCACUUCAGCUGCAGCUGAGACAGAGCUUCUAUAGCUCCUUCUAUUGCAAACAACUUCCUGCUCAAAGCAAAACAGUCUGUGAAGCAAACACUGAAGAAAUGCAAAGGGUUUCUGUGUUGUGACAGAAGUUUGGGCCCAACAGUUCCCAGGCUUACGGAAAGGUCCCAGAAAUGUCAACGUGUACUUCUCCAAGGAAUGUCCAAGGAAGGCAGGCCUCCCAGAGCCACCACACCAGCACCAGUGAGUGUUUGGGGGUAGAAACAAAGAAGAGCAAGCAGAUGGGCCUGAUACAAAUGUUUCAGGUGGGGGCAAGGAAGCAGACCGAACAAACUGAACUGCAGUGGACUUCACACGCCCGGCUUUUUUCAGCUCUAAGAAACGUACCCAGUUCAGAUCCGUGCUCCCUCCCUCCCACCAAACUUUGACUUAAGCAAGUCAAACAAAGAGACUUUGUUCAAUACAGAACCAUGUUCGUAGGCAGAGCUAUGACAGAUUGCAGCAAGAUAAGCACAGCAGAGGGCGCAGCUGAAGCGCUGAGACAAGUUCACUUCAUAAAUCUGCAGCGGGUAAGAGAGGCCUCGCUGCUUUCUCAGGAUCUCUCUGCAGUAGGGCCUUACGAAACACACGGGCAGGAAUCCCCCACAGACCUUGCCAACCAGUUGGCAAACCAGUUUGAGUCAGAAGUCCCUCAGCAGCUGCUCCACAGCUAAACACACUGAUCUUGCCAGUUAGGAGGCAGCACAGGUGUUGCACACUUGGGUUGUUUCUCAUAUCUCUGACCAACUUGUGAGAAAUGAGCAGCAGAGUGUAAAAUGUUCUCCUCCCACAGCACGCACACAGCAGCCACGCUGACAGAGCAGGAGGGGAACACGGCGUUAUACCUUACUUAGGAAUGCUCACGCGCUGUGUAAGCGGUGUGAUAAUUAAAUUGUUAGUCACGUUGACAAGUGGGUGGAAGAGGCUGAAAACCUCUGAUGCAGUUUGCCACAGGCAAUUAUAGAUUUACUAGUGAUGCAUCUGUCACACACAAAAGAUGGGCUUGGACCCAAGUAUCUGCAGUAGCUCAACUUUAACCCACUUCCCAGAAGUAAAAUGGAAUGAACAGACUGCUCUGCAUCCACAGCACAGCACAGACCCACCUCCAACCUACCGCAUGGGAACAGCUGUACAAUUUCACAUACUCAAGUAUUCAUCCAAGCAAGAACUUGUAGACAUUAAUCCUUAUCCAAAGAUCUGGGAAUUUCCGCUCUUGAAAUUCUGAUAUUACCACCUAGUUAUGUAGAACUUGCAAGGCCUCAGCUCUGCCAUGUGACAUCUCACUUGGUCAGUGCACGACAAAAGGAUCACUGGCUCAGAAGUGAUCUGACAGCAGAAGCAAGUAAAUACCUAAUCACUCCCUUCGCUAAGCGUCUGUCACUCACAAGGACUAACCCAUCUGCCUGACAAUUUCAACUUUCCUCUCAAGCACAAAACUGACAGUAAUUUGUCUUAACAAACCUGGGAACCGACAGUGAAAAACUGAACCUUGUGUCCUAUGGCACCAGCCCUAUUUCACUAUCAGCCACGUGUGAAACAAAUUGGCAGUCUCUAGACCUCUCCGAAUAGAGGGAAGAUGAUUAGGAAGAAUGGAGGGGAAAAGGGGAAACAAAAGGUAACUUCUACUAGUAACAUCUUUUGAAAUGACCAGCAUUUGUUGUGCCAAUCCUACUCCUAGGAGAAACCUGUACACCUGGCACCCCACCACAGUCUUCAACUCUUUAAUUCUUCAGAAAUGAACUUCUGCUGGAGAAACUUGAAGGCAUGCCAGGGGCCUGUGUUCCUUCUGCUUCCUGUGACAGCUCAGCCUGUAGGAAACAGCAGUCAGUAGGAACAUGCACAGAGGACAACACACAAAGACAACUGAAGUGGAUUUUUUUUUCCCCAAAGAAAUUUUAUUUGAGAAAAAUCAAAAAAAUCCCCCAACCAGUCAUUACAAGGUCAAUCCGUAUGAGUCCCCCACAUCUGUUCCCCAUAACCACAGCAGCACAGUGAGGAUCAACGUGCAGCACUAUAAUGAUACCGUAACAGUCACCUGGGGAACGUAAGGCUUCACCACCAUUUUUGAGAAAAAGGUUAUCUUUGUAUUCUGGUAAGGAUGGGGAGAGGAUGUCAUAAUAGACAAAGACAGGGAAAGCCCCUUGUGUGUACAGUCUUUUUAACUUGUAUAAAAACAAAAAUCAAAAAACCGUAACAGAUCUACAGGCUUCAAACUGUAAGACCUAAAGCUACCUUCAAAUGACUUGUAAUUCAGUCCUGUGGCAUCGCUGCUGUCCCGCACUGUAACAGCUUUCAAAAGUGUACAAGGAUAGUGUGGAUGCAAAGGGAGAGGAGUGGACUUGGAUUCUUAAUAUGGCUUUAUUAAAAAAAAAUUAAAAGCAAUAUAAGCACUUGCCAGCAGAACUAACAACUCCAGGAUCUCAGCAAUGGCAAAGAAGUGACAAAGCACUAACUUAUUUAGAUGACUGUAGGUCAUCUUUUCAUCCUCUUUCCCAUAGCCUCGCCCUGGACAACUGUUUCCCUCCUGGUAACAGAUCAGAUUCAAGUUAGAAAACAUGAAUGCUUUUUUUUUUUUUUGCUUUUUUUUUCCCCCCCCCCUUUUUAAAACAUGGUAGGCUGGGCCCAGGGCUACAAUAACCUUUUCCCAUGCCAGAAGGGUCGAGGCACCUGAGACCAGAAAGCUGUGCUGCCGAACCGUUUGCUCUGAAGGAAUGCAGAGAAGGCUUAAGAAUUUUAAUCACUGCCUAAAAUCUGCAGCAUGCAAGUCCAGGAAGUGAACCUGUCUGUUUUUCCUCAGCCUUUCUUAUUCAACACAGUUGCAUCUGGACAGCUGAGAAACUAUGAAUGGCUGCUUGCUCUCACCGUGGUACCAGAGUAGCAGUUCUGCAGAGGGCGCAGUUCAGACACCCCUCAGAUGUAGCAUUAGCAUAUUCCUACUCUGCACUGCUUUUCAAGUUCAUUCAUGUCCUUCCAACUCCUCUGCCAACUGCAAAGCAACCCUUGCAUCCUCAGAGCUCACAGUAGGGUAUGGGCCUUUGUGCUGCACAACAGUGACAGCAGCCCACCUUGCUUUGAUGUCUCAGAAAAUGAGGUUCAGCCACCUGCCUGCAGAAUAAACAUUACACUGCUAGAUGAAAAAAGUCUCCGGCUCAAUUUAAGAUCAAGUUUCUUAGCAUAACCUGCUCCAAUUUGCUCUGUGACUGUAUCUAACUGAGGCCUCUUCUCUGCACAAAAGGCUGCCAAUGACCAUGGCUUUCAGAAAACCUGCUGCAUCAUUUUGGAACAAGAGAGGCAAAUCCAACACAAACACAUGGCCUAAGGACAGGACCAAGGCUGGACAGCCAAUGUGAGCAAAGCAGGCUUCUCCUUUUCAAGCUCAAACAUAUUACCAAGCCCUCCUUCCAAGGCUCCCCCUUCCCCCAGACUGAAUCAUCAUAUGCUUAAGUGCCUUGACCCAUCAGCAUAAAAACUCCAGCUCCCACAGGGAGAAACACUGAGGUCCACAACAGGGACCAAACCUUGGACCUUCCUCUAACCUCAGACCCUGCUGGAAUGAUGAACCUAUUGUUUUGCACUCACCUUUAUACGCAUGAGGCUUAGAUCUCAGCUGGUCAGAAGGGGAAUCCCCAACACUGCCCUGGUGAUAGCUGCAGGGCACCUAAUGUGCUCAGCUGGAUCAGGUGGCUCAGAAUAACACUACAGUCACAGACAGAUGGGAGACAUCAUCAAGCCAAGAUUAUAAGAGGAGAACAGACAGUGCAAGAGCUCGCUGCAGCUGUCAUAGAAAAAUCAUUUUUAUUAAUCACUGCCCCAGGAAUCCCCAAACCCAUCACAAGCUCACCCUCCCUUAAUAUCCAACAGGAUUUCUGAAGUCCCCAGUUGCUUCACAUGUUUAUGCUCCCCUCCCCUUUUAGGGUUCAAGUUCCUGCAGAAUAGCUCCAGUCAGUGGGUGUCAUCUGUGAGAUGGCUCUGGGAGGACAUGGCUGGGUUCCAGCGGUGUCCAGCUGGGGCUGUGAAGAGGGGAGGAGGACUUGUUCCUUUACUCAAUCAGUUUCUUGGCCUUGAAGAAACGACGCAAGUAGAAUACCUGCCAGGUGGCCAGUCCAAUGAGACAACACAUGGAGAAAAUGCUGAAGUACAGAACCCGGGUGUUUGUUGAUUCAUUUGUGUCCCUCAUUUCCUCUUCUCGUUUCUUCAUAUAGGCAAAGUCAUUAACAAUGGACUCUGAAAGAUCCUCCAGGCGUCUCAGUUCUACUUCCAGAGGCUUCAACUUCUCCACUUUAGCAAUCUCCUCGUAGUUCUUUGCUUCAACUCCAUGCUUCAUAUCCAGAAUCACGAGCUGGUCCGGCAUCCUCCCUGUUCCCACAGGAAGCUUGCUCUCAAAGCAGGCCUCAAACAUGUCAUAGUCUUCAGUGGUGAAGGCAAACUUGCCCUUAGUGGCAUCCUCUUUAGCAUACAGGAUGUGCCCUGCUGAGUCAGUUAUCUUGAGGUUGGCGGAGGGGCCGCUGGAGGAGCCCGGCGGGGCGCCGAUCUCGUACUCGCCCGUGACCAGCGUGUCGCGGUGGAUCUCCUCCCGCAGGCACUUCCGCGCCUUGCCGGGCAGCUGGAAAGAGAUGGGCCGCGCCGGGCCCGCCAGAAGCAGCAGCGCCAGCAGCGGGGCCAGCCUGAGGCGGGGGCGGCCGGGCGGCGGCAGAGGCAUGGCGGCGGCUCCGGGUGCGACGAGCCGGCCUCCGCCACACGUGACCGCGCCGCCGCCUGCGUCACGGCGGAGGCGCGCGGGGCGGGGCCGGGGCCCGGCGGCCGUUGGCGUUCGAAUCUGCCCCGCGCGCGUCCGCUGAGGCGCUGUGGGGGUUGGGGUGAGCGGCCGGUGCUCGCGCCCACGUCCCGUCAGCGUCGGUACGGGGAGAUUGCAGUUCCGUGUGAAAGCACAUCUGUUACCAGCGGGCUGUGGUAUCAUUCAAGGAAUUGUCAAAGCACGCGUUCUGUUACAGAGGUGUGCUCCAAGGAUACACAGACACGAACUCACCGGGCUUUCCCUGCGGUUGGAUGCCUCCCAAGUCUCUCACUGGAAGAUGCACUUGCUUUUUAAUUAUACACAAAUAUGUUAUAAAUUCCUGAGUAUUUUCUCCGUCUUCUUCAGCCAAGAACAAAUUGUAGUAUCAGAUGUCUCACUUCUUUGGAUCCACACCGUGCAAAUACCGUAUGAUGGUGGCAGAGGCAUGCUGGUGUUUUUGACUGCGAACAAAAUGAUGAUGAUGGUUUUCAAAUGACUUGGAGGCCCGUUUCCUCCCUCCCCAGCACAUGGUCAGUUCUACUCCUGUUAUUCUGAUGGCACGUACUCCAGGCAUUUUACUUUUCAGGAAGGUAGCAGUACGUAACUCACCAGCUGCACUACACCGAGCCACACAGCUGUGGGCUGCUGCUCCCCUCCUUCCUCAGCAUCCCGCUGCACCUUCCUCUCCCACAGGGCAGCGCAGAGAUGAAAGGCUGAACACAAGCCUGAGGAAUGUCAGGAUUCAAGCUAUAACCUUUCCAUCCCAUCCUCUUUGUUUCUAUGGCCUUUGCUGUGCACUGCAGAGUAACUUGCUUCGACGAAGAAGAAAAAUUCCCAAAUAGGUGGUUAUGAUGAACACGCCUGUGGUCAGCUCCUGGAGUUGGCUGCAGGUGUUUGGGUUUGUUGAGAUUCAAGGAAGGGUGGGAAGAAAGAAAUGAAUAGUUAUGUUGCUAGAAAUUAAACAAACAAACAAAACUCUUUUAUUUCUAUUAGCUUGACUAAAGAAAAAAUACAGUUCUGUGUUUUACUUCUGUGUCCUAAACGUCACUCUUCCUCUCUUUGAGAAGAAUUUGUCUUUAGCAACAAGCAGUAGUCAAGAAUCACUGCAAAUUUCAAUCUUAGGAGGCUUAAACCAGUGGAUUUCAUGCCUCAGUGUUCACAUGCAGAUCAAGAUAAGCCAAGCCUUGCCCACAGCAUUUUAAAGAACAGCUCCGCUCUCUUGCAUCCAUAGGCACCUGUUUACUGAGGCAGUACGAUGAAGACCUCCAUAUGAGGAAAUGGAACUUAAGCUCUGCUGUGCAGUAACAGCGAUAGCAAACAGAACCCUCAUGAAUAAAAGCCUCUCUGAAGCUUUAUUUAAACAAUAUUCUAGGGGGACACAAUUUUCCUUAGCAUAGCACAUAUCUUUUUACGUGAAGAUCAGCUGUGCUCAAAUAUUCAGUCCAUUACUUCAUGAUCAAAAAAUGGGCUUUCUGGUCAUUUGUUGCACGUCUCAAUACAUCUUUGUUUCUUUUAACCAGUUUGCAAACCUUUCCCUACUUGGACAAUUGCACUAGUUUGAAGUUCAACCUUAAAAAUAAAUAAGUGUUAAGCUGUUUCUGCAGUAUGUCAAAGUAUAUUUGCACAAUGAAAACAUUCCUUCCAUUGCGGCACUUAAGGCAGAAAUAGAUACUAUUUCACAAGCUUUAAGAAAUAUAGGUUACUAGAAUCUGAAGAUAUGAAAUGUUGUAAUGUCCUACCACCAAAUUCCCAAUGAGACACGUUCAGCACGACAAAUCUCUCCAUGCUGAACAUUCCUUAUACCAGUGAUAUGCACCCAGUCUUCUAGCAAGUUUAAAACAUUCAAUAACGUCUUAUUUGCUGGGGCAAAUAUUGGAGAAAUUGUCUCAUUCAUGUUGAAGUAACCUCAUUUUCUAAAGCCAAAAUGUGAAGUCAACUAUUGAUGAGAAAAUAUUUAACAAUCCCUUCCUAUUGUGUCCAUUUCAUCACAGUACAUUUUUAGAUGAGUUACAUCUAUGACUGACAAAUUUAUCAUCGUUUCUGUUUUAGCUUCUCACGUAUUAAUGCAUUAUGUUUUAAACCGCCAUACACACAUUCGGUUCUAAUUAUAAAAUUGUAUCAUACGUGGUUUAGUGCAUUAGCAUGUUGCGAAAGAAAGUAGUCCCUGUUCAUUGCAGGAGACUUGGACUAGACGACCUUUAAGGGUCCCUUCCAGUUUAAACAGUUGUAUGAUUCCAUGAACUGCUGAAAGUCUCUUUAAAAUCCCCACCUCCUCACUCUCUAACUGCUUAAAAAUGCAAUGGGGCAAUCUUCAUUUUGUGCGCAAAGUAACUUCUAGCAGAUGGAAAGCAUUUUAAGAUCCUUUCAGCUACAGGUUUAGAAAUAACAGUCUUGCAGGGACAUGCCUUAGCAUUUCCACAUAUUCAGAGCUGGCAAAAUGUAAUACUUCCUGUAAUUCUGAAACGCUUAACAGAUGAAAAGGAGAGAUUGAUAACUCAUUACACAACUUUCAGGAUGAAACGAUGACCUAUUUUAGUGUAAUUUGCUGUGUUACACGUUGUAUGUGCUUGGCAAUUAGGUAAAAGCAGGUAUCAUUUCUCGCUACCAUUCAUCUAUAGACAAAUGAGUGUAUACCCAGAGAAAAUAUUACCUUAUUAUCUACCAACAUGACAUACUGACAGAAUUUAAACCAUUUUGUUAUUGUAUACAUUUUAUAUUUUUAGAUAUCCCUAAUACUGUUUCAUUGCUGUCUUGAAAGUAAUUAAGAAAGCAGUGAGUUAUUUAGCUUUCAACCCUGAACUCAUAAAGAAGUAUUGGGAAAAAAUCAGUAUUUCUAUAGUUUGCGGCAACAGUGGUUAGUGAGAAAAUAUGGCAUUUCCCACAGAAUUUGUAAUUGUUUUCUCAACUGAAGAAGAAAUUAACAGAUUGUUGGCAAUAAUCUUUUUUGUUGUUGUUGUUUUUGCCAUACUUAUAUACGUCUUUUAUCCAUGGUCAAUUGCAGAAAACAAUUGUCUGUCUCCUUGAAUCAAUGUGUAGGAAUGUAUACAAAUGAGGCAAUUCGUUUUUUUUUUCCUGCUCUGCAUCAGCUGCUUUGACAUCCAAGCAUUUACUUGGUUUUCACAAUGAAAAGUUAAACAGUUCUCUUCUUAAGAACUACUUGAGACUUGUACACCCUUUUGCAUUUUACCUUGCACCUAGCAACCCACUACCA